rnacentral:miRNA from 1 species
UAUUGCUUGCAAAAGUAAAUCCAUUUUUCGAAGUUACACAUGUAUUUGAUCUAAACGAUAAAUUUGAUCUAUAAAGAUAAAAACAUUUUAAUGUUUUGUAACUUCGAAAAAUGGAUUUACUUUUGCAAGCAAUA